GCGGUUAUACGGGAGGCCCAAGUUGUCAGAAGUCGGCGUAAAGGGUGGUUAAGAAUAAGCUUAAAAUUAAAGCCGAACAUCUUCCAGGCUGUUAUACGCAUCUGAAGAUAAGAAGCUCAACUACGAAAGUAGCUUUAUGUUUUCUGAACCCACGAAAGCUAGGAUA
rnacentral:rRNA from 1 species